rnacentral:rRNA from 1 species
AGAACGCCUGGUCGGGGCCCGUCUCCCUCGGGGACGGGUUCCCGCCCAGCUCUCCGGACCCGCGGCCGUCGGUCAGGGCGGUACGGAACGACUAAGGCGCUGGGCCGCUCCUCUAGCAGAGAGCGCCCGGCCUCCCCGCAAGCCCGGGUCGGACCGUCGGGUCGUGCCCUCGCGGGUACGCCCGGCGUCCUCCCGGACUGCUGGCGGGUGACGGCUCGGGCUGACCGUCCAGCACGCCGGUCGGCGGCGCUCCAGAUUCGGGCACUUAUCCGACCCGUCUUGAAACACGGACCAAGGAGUCUAGCGUGUGCGCGAGUCAUUGGGUGAGAAAACCUAAAGGCGCAAUGAAAGUGUCGGAGGGCGCUCACGCGCCCUCGGCGGGAAGAUGGGCUCCCGGACUCCGUUCCGGCGCCCCGCACUCCCGGGGCGUUUCACUCUCGUCUCCGGACGAGUCGAGACGCACCAGGAGCGCACACGCUGGUACCCGAAAGAUGGUGAACUAUGCCUGGCCAGGACGAAGCCAGGGGAAACCCUGGUGGAGGUCCGAAGCGAUUCUGACGUGCAAAUCGAUCGUCUGAGCUGGGUAUAGGGGCGAAAGACCAAUCGAACCAUCUAGUAGCUGGUUCCCUCCGAAGUUUCCCUCAGGAUAGCUGGCUCUCGGGAAGAGACGAGUCUCAUCCGGUAGAGCGAAUGAUUAGAGGUGAUGGGGUCGAAACGACUUCAACCUAUUCUCAAACUCCCAAUAGAUGAGAGCCCCGGCUUGCUUGAAAGUGAAGCCGCGGGACUCGGAUCAGAGUGGGCCAAGUGGGCCAAUUUUGGUAAGCAGAACUGGCGCUGUGGGAUGAACCAAACGCAGAGUUAAGGCGCCUGAUUCGACGCUCAUCCGAAACCAUGAAAGGCGUUGGUUGCUUAAGACAGCAGGACGGUGGCCAUGGAAGUCGGAAUCCGCUAAGGAGUGUGUAACAACUCACCUGCCGAAGCAACUAGCCCUGAAAAUGGAUGGCGCUGUAGCGUCGUGCCUAUACUCUGCCGUCAACGGCAAAGCGGGCGGCCCCCCCGCGGGGCGGCGCCGUUAGGCCUUGACGAGUAGGAGGGUCGCGGCGGUGCGCGCGGAAGGGUCUGGGCGCGAGCCCGCCUGGAGCCGCCGCCGGUGCAGAUCUUGGUGGUAGUAGCAAAUACUCCAGCGAGGCCCUGGAGGACUGAUGUGGAGAAGGGUUUCUUGUGAACAGCUGUUGCACAAGAGUCAGUCGAUCCUAAGCCCUAGGAGAAAUCCGAAGCGAUGGUAUGCCGUUAA